rnacentral:rRNA from 1 species
UUUAUGGAGAGUUUGAUCCUGGCUCAGGAUGAACGCUGGCGGCGUGCCUAAUACAUGCAAGUCGAGCGAACGGACGAGAAGCUUGCUUCUCUGAUGUUAGCGGCGGACGGGUGAGUAACACGUGGAUAACCUACCUAUAAGACUGGGAUAACUUCGGGAAACCGGAGCUAAUACCGGAUAAUAUUUUGAACCGCAUGGUUCAAAAGUGAAAGACGGUCUUGCUGUCACUUAUAGAUGGAUCCGCGCUGCAUUAGCUAGUUGGUAAGGUAACGGCUUACCAAGGCAACGAUGCAUAGCCGACCUGAGAGGGUGAUCGGCCACACUGGAACUGAGACACGGUCCAGACUCCUACGGGAGGCAGCAGUAGGGAAUCUUCCGCAAUGGGCGAAAGCCUGACGGAGCAACGCCGCGUGAGUGAUGAAGGUCUUCGGAUCGUAAAACUCUGUUAUUAGGGAAGAACAUAUGUGUAAGUAACUGUGCACAUCUUGACGGUACCUAAUCAGAAAGCCACGGCUAACUACGUGCCAGCAGCCGCGGUAAUACGUAGGUGGCAAGCGUUAUCCGGAAUUAUUGGGCGUAAAGCGCGCGUAGGCGGUUUUUUAAGUCUGAUGUGAAAGCCCACGGCUCAACCGUGGAGGGUCAUUGGAAACUGGAAAACUUGAGUGCAGAAGAGGAAAGUGGAAUUCCAUGUGUAGCGGUGAAAUGCGCAGAGAUAUGGAGGAACACCAGUGGCGAAGGCGACUUUCUGGUCUGUAACUGACGCUGAUGUGCGAAAGCGUGGGGAUCAAACAGGAUUAGAUACCCUAGUAGUCCACGCCGUAAACGAUGAGUGCUAAGUGUUAGGGGGUUUCCGCCCCUUAGUGCUGCAGCUAACGCAUUAAGCACUCCGCCUGGGGAGUACGACCGCAAGGUUGAAACUCAAAGGAAUUGACGGGGACCCGCACAAGCGGUGGAGCAUGUGGUUUAAUUCGAAGCAACGCGAAGAACCUUACCAAAUCUUGACAUCCUUUGACAACUCUAGAGAUAGAGCUUUCCCCUUCGGGGGACAAAGUGACAGGUGGUGCAUGGUUGUCGUCAGCUCGUGUCGUGAGAUGUUGGGUUAAGUCCCGCAACGAGCGCAACCCUUAAGCUUAGUUGCCAUCAUUAAGUUGGGCACUCUAAGUUGACUGCCGGUGACAAACCGGAGGAAGGUGGGGAUGACGUCAAAUCAUCAUGCCCCUUAUGAUUUGGGCUACACACGUGCUACAAUGGACAAUACAAAGGGCAGCGAAACCGCGAGGUCAAGCAAAUCCCAUAAAGUUGUUCUCAGUUCGGAUUGUAGUCUGCAACUCGACUACAUGAAGCUGGAAUCGCUAGUAAUCGUAGAUCAGCAUGCUACGGUGAAUACGUUCCCGGGUCUUGUACACACCGCCCGUCACACCACGAGAGUUUGUAACACCCGAAGCCGGUGGAGUAACCUUUUAGGAGCUAGCCGUCGAAGGUGGGACAAAUGAUUGGGGUGAAGUCGUAACAAGGUAGCCGUAUCGGAAGGUGCGGCUGGAUCACCUCCUUUCU